UUAUUAUUAUUAUUAUUAUUUUACUGUGAUUCCAUUUGAUUGAAGAUUAUUAGGAUCAAGAAGCACAAGGAGCAGUUUGUGUGGCGGAAAGAUUGAGUGUGAGUGCAAAAUCAAAUUGAAAUCGCAUCUUUGUUUAAUCGAUUCCUUUGCCUCAUUGUUUUGGAAAUGAAGAAUUGUGCAAAACCCGACUAGGCUGUUUAAGGCAUAAUUACAAAGAUUCAUUCUCCUGUGAGAAUGGCAAUAAUGAUUUCAAUUUAGCUGAAGGAAAGCUGUUGAUGAACACUGGACUGGACCCAAAUGCAGUCUACUCCUCAUCUAUUACCUAUUUCACUUUCUACAAGAAGCCGAUGUGCGUAAGAACCAAACCAAAUUAGCAUUUGAACAAAAGUGAAUAAGCAUCUGCUACAAGUGUUAGUUGUAAAUCACAGAGUUUGAAGAUUGAUUCAAGAUACAUCUCCUCACCCUUAAGGAGCUUGUUAACAUGAUCAAUCUCCAAGGUAUCCCUUGUGCUUACACGCAAUUGGUCUCAUGGAAGGUCAAAAGAAAGCAUGACCAAGCAAUCACCAAAUCCAGUAUGUGCUACGUAACAGUAGAAAUGCAAUCACAAAAUUCAAGUGUUAUGAAACUCUCUUUUCCAAGUAAAAUUAGACUAAUACAUACAACUAUGCUUUCAACAUCAGGCUAAGAGUGAACAAUCUCAUGGAGUUGGACGUUCCAAACUUGCUGCUUGCUUUGUUUCUGCCAUUUCAACUUCAAAUGCACCAGAAUCUGAAGAUAUUUCCUUCUCCAUUGCCAUCCAUUUUAUUUUUGCCACUCGUAUGGCCUGCAAUUCAUAUCUGAUAAACAAGAUGUCAGAUUUUGUAUGUGGAUGUGCAAAUUAAUAUACGGAUAUAUCAUAUAUGUCCGUGUGAGAAAUAAAUAGGUAAAUAAUAUAUCUUGUGCAACUGAAAGAGCAGGCAAUAAAUAACUAUCAAUCUCCUGUUACUCACGAGAUUACGCUCAAGGCAUUUAUGAGAUUAAGCAACUGCUUAGCGUGUUAAGUACCAAUUGCAAUUAUGGUAUAGGGAUCUAUAAAAAAAAGGGUUAAAAAAAAAAAAUACCAUACUUAAGACUAAUCUGGAGCUAGUGCACAUAUAAAGGAAAAAUAUGCAGAUCUAAUAAUUUCAAAAAUAACAAAAGCAACAAAAUGAAUCCAGAAUUAGCAUAUAUGUCCAAACCUAAAACCAAAAUUAGUACCAAACAAUUUCAGCUGUGGCCUGCAUCGUAGAUAGGAGUAGGAGAUGAGGCAACCAGCCAUACCUUCUGAAUUAUUUUCUUUAGAGAUAUUAUCUCAGUUAAAGAUUUUCUCAAGUAUUUAUCUAAAAAUGGAAGAAUUUGCUUCCAGGCCAAAGAUCAACUGUUUGCAAACUAGUGCAGGAACAACAGUAUUUCAAUUGAAUCUAUCCUAUAUGUUAUUAUAACUUAUGAGCUAUGGUGUUACACAUUCUAAACAAACAUGUUCAUUCCCUCCCUAAUUGCUUAUUACUUGAAAGAUCAUCGUGAAACAGCACUACAUUAGGUCCAAUUAAAAGUCCUACUUGUGAGAAAAGCAGUUGCAUGUAUAAAAAGAAAGCUCAGAUUUCUACUGAAAUGAUACUGCUCCAGUGGAGUCUGCAGCACACUUCAUACUUGAUCAUUCUCUUUCAAGUUAUGCAACUGCAUUGAUACCUAGAAUACCAGUAACUUGAGACACUAUGAACUCAUGA
rnacentral:misc_RNA from 1 species